rnacentral:lncRNA from 1 species
UUCUGGAAUUUUAUUAUUUUUAAUACAUACAUUUCACAAACAGAAACCCUCUAAAACCACACACAGUUCCACAACCAAAUGUUUCAAUUUUAUCCACAUUCUUUAACUAUUUACACUGUCUUUCCUCAACAAAAGUGCAAUCCAAGACAUCUUGACAAGAAAUCUUUACUGACAAGAAUUUAUUUUUGAGCUGGUUUUAGCAGACCCAUCCAUUUUAUUUUAUUUCAAUUACCUGGAAUAUUUAGUGAACAGGACAUAAAGAUGAACUGGGUUAGGCAGCAUCCUAUUAUAGGAAAUAAAACACUAAACAAGAACACUUUCUCCUCACUUCCUUUCCAAUCUCCAAUGAAAGUCACUCAACAGCUGCUACCAGGAUACAAAACAGAAAAGCAAACUGGAGUUCUUGACCUAGACACAGGAGAACAGACUGUGUAUUAAGCAUCAGUCUUGCAGGACUAAACAAAAGAUUUUAGCAAAUUAGUUUUGGUGCUCUAAUAAGGUACAUAUAAGUCUUAUCUGUUAGUUUCAGAGUUCAAAUACCUAAUAAGAUUCUUUUUUGAUGAGUUAAUUUUCCCCCAACAUAUAUGAAAAUAACUUUUACUCAGAAAAUGAACUUCUUGCACAAAACCUAGAAGUUAAAGGGCAUUUGAGGAAAGCUCCUCUGUAACUAGAAGAGGAAAAUUCACCCAACUCCCCAACUUCAUGGCACCAUAUCUCUUUUAAAGUAUAAACCCAUUAUAUCAACUGCUUCAAAUGUACCAAGAGAAUGAAGAGGUGAGAUGGCCUGAAGAGAAAACAAUCAAUCAGAAAUUGUACUCUCACUAAACUAAAGCAGAUCACUGUAUUUGUUCAAGGUAUAAAACCCUUAAAAUAAAUAAUUAAAAAUAUUAAGAGUAGGCGAAAAACACUUUGAAAUUAUUAGUCACUCUUAAGACUGCUUCAUUUUACUGAACACUAUUCAUCAGAAAAACAGAAAUUGGAUCUCUUGGGUAACUAAUAUUCUUUUAGUAUCCUAACUACAACAAAAAUAAUAACCUUUUUUGAUAUAUUCCAAUUCCAAUCAAAGUAUUCAGGGCAAGCUUGGGGUAUUAAGGUCAGUAGAUUUCCAAAAUAAGAUUUAUCUUCAUGGUGUUGAAUACUCAAUUAUACUUUAUUCCCAAAUCAACCAAAUUUUCCCUCUAGACAAGAAUGAAUCACCUUAAAGGCGAAAGAUAUUCUCAGAUAUGCUUCAUGCUCUCAUUAUUUUCUCUUUAAGUAACUGAAGACAUCCAUAGAAUCCUUAAUUUAGCAUUGAAAUAAUGUCCAAGAGUAAACUUUAUCCAAUUACAGUAAAACCUCAUCCUAUUUAUUGUUCAGGGGGUAGAAAACCAUCUAAAAAGGCAACAUGGAACACAGCAUACACUACACCGACAGUAGUUCUAAAUUCAGGAGCUUGCUGAAUGCAAUGUAUAGGUCAAUUGUAAGCUUCAGAACAACAAUAUAAAGCAGGUUUCACUAUAAAAUUUUAGGUGGGUUAAAGAUCAGCAUCAUCAAUAUUUUACUAUUUAAAUUCAGAAAUAAAAUCCAAAUGGUAUUACGAGGACAAGAGAAACUUAGCACUUUUUGCAUCUGGGUACAUGAGAGAAUCAAUAAGGAAAUAGUUAAUUCACCACUACAGCUUUGUGCAUUAAAGACAAGUUUGCAGAAAGCUAUGUCUUACAAUCCUCCUCCUUUAGUUGCAUCAAACACUGUCAGUUCAAUGACUUUCUACUUCUUAUAGGCAUUUCAUGCAUUUCUUCCCACUGAAAAGUUUUUUCAGAUGAUCAAACACUAACCUAGAUGCAGCAAACCAAAUCAUCCAAACUGAAAGAUAAAAACUAUUAGUCAAUAACAUUGGUUCUUUAAUGCUGCAUUGUUUCAAACGCAACAUCAAAUAUUUCAUAUAGAACUGAAAUUCGGCUGGGCGCGUGGCUCACACCUGUAAUCCCAGCACUUUGGGAGGCCAAGGCAGGUGGACCACAAGGUC